rnacentral:rRNA from 1 species
GGCGGUACUUAGUUCGGCGGUGCGCGCCGGCCAGAUGGAGAGGGCGAUGAGAGGUCGUCGCGCCGGCAACGGGAAAAGAAGGGGAGGAGUGGGCGGGGUUGAGGAGUGGGGGUCGGAGGAGCCGGAGUUGCGCCUGCAGAGGCUAAACCUAUCCUAAGCUACCGCACAAGUGUGGCGGUGCGCGCCGGCCACGGGACAAGAAGCGGAGGAGUGGGGGCCGGAGGAGGCGGAGCUCCUCCUGCCGAGGCUAAACCUCGAGUUCAUGACGGAGGGGCUGUGGAGGCAGGGGUUGAUGCAGCAGGGCAGUCUGCUCCUGCUCUAAACCUAACCCCGCGUUGUCUCUACUCCUUCCUGUUUCGUUCUUAUCGAGGUCACUCUCACUUGCUUAUACUUGUGGUGUUGGGAGAGUCCCCUACAACCGACUAGUCCUAUGGGUUAAGAGUUUGUUCGUACGACUCUACGAGUUCUAUACCUUCAAGCAGGUGUUCGAGCUGGUGGUCCAAAAAAACCAAGUACAAGUUACCCUCCGCUUAUCACAUCUCUCCCAUAGACUACGUUCAGGUUCCAUUUGUAAACAAAGAAAAUAACACAAAUCCACUUGUACAUUUUCCACGUCUACCUGUACUACUUCGGCACUUAACAGUGUGUUCAGUGACUCGAAGAACCCAAGCUUUUUGAUGGAUUGACGAUAAUAGGACUUAAAUCAAAAUAGACUUGAUUCUCCUGGUGGACACGAAGAGAUUGUUUCUUAAUGAGUAAACCAUAAGAAAACGUGACAACUAAAAUCAAGUUUAACCACACUCACGCUGGAGAAACAGUACAACCUAUUCCGAAAGACAUAGUGUACCUACACUGGACAUCAUACCACAUCUUUUCACUACUUUCCAUAAUCAACCUUAAUUAAACCGUCGUUAUCAAAUAGUUCAAAAACGGUUCGGUCGAUAAACACCUUAAAGACGUCGACAUGAAACACGGUAGAGGGAGUACGUCUAUAUAUAUGAUCGUCUGAUCGUGCAUUUAAUAAAUGUAGUUUUGACUCUGUAUAGAUAUAUACUACCUCCGUAAAGAAAGAAAUAUAAGUCGUCAUGGAGAACGAUGAUAUUUCUUUCAUCUUUGUACCAACUAUUUAUUAGUGUAACAAGACGGGUAAAAAGUAAAGUGUUAGGUAAUGUUAACAAUACAGGAACGUUAGUAUGGUGAUGUGUACUGCGAAGGAUCUAGACCUUGGGUUGGUUUCUUGUUAGUUCAAACUAAGCACGACAAUAACCCGGAGCGACGCUGGGACUACAAAAACCCGGUUCAACCCGUCUUAGAUGAGUACGAAUAUUUUGUUCAAACAAUUGUCUAAUUUGUCAGGGUGGAUCGAAGAAUGUCGAUUAAGAUAGUUCAAAUUUUUUUUAUUAAGAUAGUUAAAUAUAUACGGAUAUUCAUACUCUUAAUUGUUCGUCGAACUCUUAUUUGAUUGCCUCCCACUCGACACAAAUCCUUUUUCAUAGUGGACCAACCGCAUUAUUUAUUUUCCUCAACCCCUAACAACCGACGGUUUACUUUUUAGAGUCCUCCGGAUUUAUUUUCCCUAGCACCCGACGCUUAGUUUUUUGGGACCAAUCAUAUUUAUUUCCUUUAACACCCGAGACUUUACUUUUUAAGGCCAACUGUAUUUAUUUCCCUAACACCCGAUGCUUUGCUUAUUAGAGUUAACUCGUGCUAACAACAUACGAUGUGCUUUUUAUUUUCGCUGAUACCAGACACUUUGUUUUUUAUUCGUUUCCGGAGGGCCAACCGUAUUUAUUUUACGAUACUUUGCUUCUUUUAUUUAUUUACCCGUACCAACUUGUUAAAGUCAUAAAAUAUGAUUAUGAUAAAAGUAAAUUUCCGACUUAAAACAGUGGGGCAACGUUGUGUGCCCGUAUACAGGAUCUUCUAUAAACCUUACGUCUCAAGUACUUUUGUUUAUAAACACGCCAGAUUUAUCAUGACAUAAAAUCAAAAGACCUUCCUACGUUUUCAGUAUGACCCGAAGGACACAUAUGACUAACGAUUUACUACGUUAUCAUAAACACGCCACCCCCUCACAGUAAGGGACACAAAUGGUUAACCAGAGUGGGAGAAUUCUCUAGAUUGGGAACAGUGGCAUUCCUUUUUUCGUUUCUCAUAAUACUGCGGUAUUUCAAACUUAAGUCUCUUCAUAUACGACUUCUUGUGGUCUUAAUCAGAAGUACUUGGUAGUAGCGGAACAACUACUACGAAGUGUACCGCGGGUGUUUAAUUUGUUGGAUACUUUACCGGUCUUCCCUGGCCUAUAGGAUGAACAUAAACGUCUCCUUAAGGCUUGUACGAAGUAGUUAAGUCAUUUCCGGAUACAUCUUUGUAGAAACUGAAGUGAUCUCUCACCUAGACGUGAGCUCCUCGUCGAGCUCGUCGAGACGUGUGUACGGAUCUGGAUGAAAGGACAGCCGCGACAACUAUACACACAAGACAUAGUAAGAAAUGCAGAUCGCACACUACAUUAGGUAAAAGUCUGAAAAGUGGUCACCUUCGUAUAUAAAAUGCUCGACUUAGUUAUCUACAAGUAACUCGAAUAAAAGUACAUUUUCGCGUACAUGUAAGAGUCGUUUUUGUUCUUUCACACACACACGGGCUGGAAGAGGGCGACGCUGGACCUGGUCCUUCGUGCAGUUUGUCUUUACAGUUAGAAAUGUGGUCGUAAUUCGGGGAUCUUUUUCAGAUAGUGGACAUAGAAACGUAUAGUGGCUCUGCCUCGGUC